rnacentral:rRNA from 1 species
GACGAACGCUGGCGGCGUGCUUAACACAUGCAAGUCGAACGGUGAAGCGCCUUCCUUUUUGGUGGGUGUGGAUGAGUGGCGAACGGGUGAGUAACACGUUAGUAACCUGCUCCCUUCUUCUGGAUAACCGCAUGACAGUGUUGCUAAUACGGGAUAUUCUGGGUCUGUCGCAUGAUGGGUCUGGGAAAGAUAUUGUUUCGGUUGGGGAUGGGCUCGCGGCGUAUCAGCUUGUUGGUGGGGUGAUGGCCUACCAAGGCGGCGAUGAGUAGCCGGCCUGAGAGGAGGGUGGACGACCACACUGGGACGACGACACGGACAAGACUACGACGGGCGGCAGCAGUGGGGAUUAUGCCACAAGCGGCGGAAGCAUGGAGCAGCGACGCGGCAGGGGGGAUGGUGGCCGGAGCGUUGUAAACCGCUUUCGGCAGUGAAGCAGGGCUGAAUCGUUUGUGCGUGGGUUGACGGUAGCUGGAUAAGAAGCGCCGGCUAACUACGUG